GCUGGCGACCGGCGCACGGGUGAGUAACACGUAUCCAACCUGCCGAUAACUCGGGGAUAGCCUUUCGAAAGAAAGAUUAAUACCCGAUGGCAUAAUUAGACCGCAUGGUUUGAUUAUUAAAGAAUUUCGGUUAUCGAUGGGGAUGCGUUCCAUUAGGCAGUUGGUGAGGUAACGGCUCACCAAACCUUCGAUGGAUAGGGGUUCUGAGAGGAAGGUCCCCCACAUUGGUACUGAGACACGGACCAA
rnacentral:rRNA from 1 species